GGACCCGUGGCCCAAUUGGCAAGGCGUUUGACUACGAUUUUCAGGAAAAAGGAAUUCAAUUCCAUCAAAAGAUUGUGGGUUCGAAUCCCACCGGGUUCA
rnacentral:tRNA from 1 species